rnacentral:rRNA from 1 species
GGAUGCGAUCAUACCAGCACUAAAGCAACGAAUCCCAUCAGAACUCCGAAGUUAAGCGUGCUUGGGCGAGAGUAGUACUAGGAUGGGUGACCUCGUGGAAAAUCCUCCUGUUGCAUUCC